rnacentral:rRNA from 1 species
GACGAACGCUGGCGGCGUGCCUAAUACAUGCAAGUAGAACGCUGAAGGAGGAGCUUGCUCUUCUGGAUGAGUUGCGAACGGGUGAGUAACGCGUAGGUAACCUGCCUGGUAGCGGGGGAUAACUAUUGGAAACGAUAGCUAAUACCGCAUAAGAGUAGAUGUUGCAUGACAUUUACUUAAAAGGUGCAAUUGCAUCACUACCAGAUGGACCUGCGUUGUAUUAGCUAGUUGGUGGGGUAACGGCUUACCAAGGCGACGAUACAUAGCCGACCUGAGAGGGUGAUCGGCCACACUGGGACUGAGACACGGCCCAGACUCCUACGGGAGGCAGCAGUAGGGAAUCUUCGGCAAUGGACGGAAGUCUGACCGAGCAACGCCGCGUGAGUGAAGAAGGUUUCCGGAUCGUAAAGCUCUGUUGUAAGAGAAGAACGAGUGUGAGAGUGGAAAGUUCACACUGUGACGGUAUCUUACCAGAAAGGGACGGCUAACUACGUG